UUUCUCUGUCGACAGUUGGUAAGGGUAUCUGAAGAAAAUCUGUGUCCUUGUCCAAAAGGAUGGCCUUCCCUGAAGAGAAAGAGAUAUAUUUGACUGAGAACAUACUAAUAGCUGUGCUCUCUGCUAGAAUCUCCAAAUAAGCUCUCAAGGAAUACUCCUAAGGGAGCUUCAGAGAUAGUACGGC
rnacentral:sRNA from 1 species